rnacentral:rRNA from 1 species
CACGUAGGGCGCAAGCGUUGUCCGGAAUUAUUGGGCGUAAAGAGCUCGUAGGCGGUCUGUUGCGUCCGCUGUGAAAACUCGGGGCUUAACCCCGAGCCUGCAGUGGAUACGGGCAGACUAGAGGUAGGUAGGGGAGAAUGGAAUUCCCGGUGUAGCGGUGAAAUGCGUAGAGAUCGGGGAGGAACAUCAGUGGCGAAGGCGGCCAUCUGGGACAACACUGACGCUGAGGCACGAAAGCGUGGGGAGCAAACAGG